GAACUACUCCCUCCGUUCGGAAUUACUCGUUCAAGAAAUGAAUGUAUUUAGAUGUAUUUUAGUUAUAGAUACAUCCAUUUUUAUUCAUUUUUGUGACGAGUAAUUCCAAACGGAGGGAGUACUUG
rnacentral:pre_miRNA from 1 species